UAGCAUAUUACCCUUUUAUUAUAUAGAUAUCCUAGGAAACCCUAAAUACCAAUCAGACAGAAUAUAUGCAUCCUUAUGUCCAUAGCAGCACAAUUUACAAUAGCUAAGACCUGGGAACAGUCCAAGUGCCCAUCAAUAGAUGAAUGGAUAAGAAUGCUGUGGUACAUUUAAAUUAUGGAAUACUAUG